rnacentral:misc_RNA from 1 species
UCAUGGCCUGGUGGACACCCUUG